rnacentral:snoRNA from 1 species
UGGUUGUGAUGAGGACAAUCUCUAAGUAGUCCCUUGAACCUUUCCCAAGCUGAAUAUAAGGACUUGCCCUAUUUUUGUUUAAAAGAGACUAUCUCACUUCUGAUCUU